rnacentral:lncRNA from 1 species
UGAACUGAACUGAACUGAACUGAAGGAAGGAGGCACUAAGUUAUUUUAAGCAGGACUUUUCUCAGAGCUCAGUUUCACUCACUUUAUUUCACCAGUCACUCGCAGAGGAUUGCCUGUGCCUCAGAUAUGCAAGGCAUUGUUGGGGAAAGUGGGUAAGAAGGUCUCCAAACUUCCAUAUCAAAGGCCUUAAUCUGUCCAGAGGAACAGACAGAGGUGGAAACAUGGUAACAUUGGUACAGAGGGAAUAGGUCAAUUUUGGAGGAGAUUGUAUUUGAACUGGACCUUGGUGGAGAGGUAUUUUGGGGCGGGUGUGGGACUGCUCAUCUGGAAAAGAAAAAUUCCCUCUUAACAAUUCCUAUUUUCUUCCUUUUCCUUCUGUUUUCCCUUUGCCAUUCCUUCCCCCCUCCCUUUCCUUCUGCUUUUCUAAUAAUAAUGAUGUUGUUUAGCAAACUAGUACUGUUAAGGGCAAAGCUAAACGCUAGGGUGGAGUCUAGUGGGCUCAAGUAGUUCUGGCUUGGUUAGGGCUCAUGAAUAAUUCUGCAGCCCUCAAAUCAAUAGAAUUUAAGAGCUGAAAAAGACCUUUACAAAAUCCUGAUUUUAUAGGUGAGAGAACACAUGGGAAAUCAGUCAGCUGAUGACAGUUGUGGAUCCGGGACUCAGUAAGGUUGACUCUAAAAUCCAGGCUUGUUCUGACUUACAUGAGGGUAUUUAACCAGUAGGUUCUAUGCUCCAAUAUGAGUGCCUCUCAAGGAUUACCAAGUAAAAAUACAUACCUGAGCUUUAUUUCCACUUUAUUUUCUAACAACUUAGAAUGAUCUCAUUUAGAUCUUUAUCAAAUCAGGAAAAGCAUGGACUUUCUCUUUAAGGAAUAAAGAUGUGUGAGGACUG